rnacentral:rRNA from 1 species
GUAGGUGGCAAGCGUUGUCCGGAAUUAUUGGGCGUAAAGCGCGCGCAGGCGGUUCUUUAAGUCUGAUGUGAAAGCCCACGGCUCAACCGUGGAGGGUCAUUGGAAACUGGAGAACUUGAGUACAGAAGAGGAAAGCGGAAUUCCACGUGUAGCGGUGAAAUGCGUAGAGAUGUGGAGGAACACCAGUGGCGAAGGCGGCUUUCUGGUCCGUAACUGACGCUGAGGCGCGAAAGCGUGGGGAGCAAACAGGAUUAGAUACCCUGGUAGUCCACGCCGUAAACGAUGAGUGCUAAGUGUUAGGGGGGUUUUCCGCCCCCCUUAGUGCUGCAGCUAACGCAUUAAGCACUCCGCCUGGGAGUACGGCCGCAAGGCUG